UACAGAGGGGGCAAGCGUUGUUCGGAAUUACUGGGCGUAAAGGGCGCGUAGGCGGCCUUCUAAGUCGAACGUGAAAUCCCUGGGCUCAACCCAGGAACUGCGUCCGAUACUGGAAGGCUUGAAUCCGGGAGAGGGAUGCGGAAUUCCCGGUGUAGCGGUGAAAUGCGCAGAUAUCGGGAGGAACACCAAUGGCGAAGGCAGCUCGCUGGGACGUUACUGACGCUGAGACGCGAAAGCGUGGGGAGCAAACAGG
rnacentral:rRNA from 1 species